rnacentral:rRNA from 1 species
GACGAACGCUGGCGGCGUGCUUAACACAUGCGAGUCGAACGGAAAGGCCCUGCUUUUGUGUGGUGCUCGAGUGGCGAACGGGUGAGUAACACGUGAGUAACCUGCCCUUGACUUUGGGAUAACUUCAGGAAACUGGGGCUAAUACCGGAUAGGAGCUCCUGCUGCAUGGUGGGGGUUGGAAAGUUUCGGCGGUUGGGGAUGGACUCGCGGCUUAUCAGCUUGUUGGUGGGGUAGUGGCUUACCAAGGCUUUGACGGGUAGCCGGCCUGAGAGGGUGACCGGCCACAUUGGGACUGAGAUACGGCCCAGACUCCUACGGGAGGCAGCAGUGGGGAAUAUUGCACAAUGGGCGGAAGCCUGAUGCAGCAACGCCGCGUGCGGGAUGACGGCCUUCGGGUUGUAAACCGCUUUCGCCUGUGACGAAGCGUGAGUGACGGUAAUGGGUAAAGAAGCACCGGCUAACUACGUG